UUAGAACGUCGUGAGACAGUUCGGUCCCUAUCUGCCGUGGGCGCAGGAGAUUUGAGAAGAGUUGCUCCUAGUACGAGAGGACCGGAGUGAACGAACCUCUGGUGUUCGGGUUGUUACGCCAGUAGCAUUGCCCGGUAGCUAUGUUCGGACAGGAUAACCGCUGAAAGCAUCUAAGCGGGAAGCCUCCUUCGAGAUUAGAUCUCCCACAGGACUUGAUCCUGCUGAAGUGCCGUUGAAGACGACGACGUUGAUAGGUUGGGUGUGUAAGCGCUGUGAGGCGUUGAGCUAACCAAUACUAAUUGCACGUGAGGCUUGACCAU
rnacentral:rRNA from 1 species